rnacentral:rRNA from 1 species
UACAGAGGUCCCAAGCGUUGUUCGGAUUCACUGGGCGUAAAGGGUGCGUAGGCGGUCGGGUAAGUCUGAUGUGAAAUCUCACAGCUUAACUGUGAAACUGCAUUGGAUACUAUCCGGCUCGAGGAAUGGAGGGGAGACUGGAAUACUUGGUGUAGCAGUGAAAUGCGUAGAUAUCAAGUGGAACACCAGUGGCGAAGGCGAGUCUCUGGACACUUCCUGACGCUGAGGCACGAAAGCCAGGGGAGCAAACGGG